rnacentral:rRNA from 1 species
GCAGUCGAGCGGAACGAUGCCUAGCUUGCUAGGAGGCGUCGAGCGGCGGACGGGUGAGUAAUGCAUAGGAAUCUGCCCGGUAGUGGGGGAUAACCUGGGGAAACCCAGGCUAAUACCGCAUACGCCCUACGGGGGAAAGCAGGGGAUCUUCGGACCUUGCGCUAUCGGAUGAGCCUAUGUCGGAUUAGCUAGUUGGUGAGGUAACGGCUCACCAAGGCUGCGAUCCGUAGCUGGUCUGAGAGGAUGAUCAGCCACAUCGGGACUGAGACACGGCCCGAACUCCUACGGGAGGCAGCAGUGGGGAAUAUUGGACAAUGGGCGAAAGCCUGAUCCAGCCAUGCCGCGUGUGUGAAGAAGGCCUUCGGGUUGUAAAGCACUUUCAGUGAGGAAGAAAGCCUUGAGGUUAAUACCCUCGAGGGAGGACAUCACUCACAGAACAAGCACCGGCUAACUCCGUGCCAGCAGCCGCGGUAAUACGGAGGGUGCGAGCGUUAAUCGGAAUUACUGGGCGUAAAGCGCGCGUAGGCGGCUUGAUAAGCCGGUUGUGAAAGCCCCGGGCUCAACCUGGGAACGGCAUCCGGAACUGUCAUGCUAGAGUGCAUGAGAGGAAGGUAGAAUUCCCGGUGUAGCGGUGAAAUGCGUACAGAUCGGGAGGAAUACCAGUGGCGAACGCGGCCUUCUGGACUGACACUGACGCUGAGGUGCGAAAGCGUGGGUAGCAAACAGGAUUACAUACCCUGGUAGUCCACGCCGUAAACGAUGUCGACUAGCCGUUGGGCUCCUUGAGAGCUUU